rnacentral:rRNA from 1 species
GACGAACGCUGGCGGCGUGCUUAACACAUGCAAGUCGAGCGGAAAGGCCACUUCGGUGGUACUCGAGCGGCGAACGGGUGAGUAACACGUGAGUAAUCUGCCCAUGGCUUUGGGAUAGCCACCGGAAACGGUGAUUAAUACCGGAUACGACCACUUCUCGCAUGGGAUGGUGGUGGAAAGUUUUUUCGGCCAGGGAUGUGCUCGCGGCCUAUCAGCUUGAUGGUGAGGUAAUGGCUUACCAUGGCUUCGACGGGUAGCCGGCCUGAGAGGGUGACCGGUCACACUGGGACUGAGACACGGCCCAGACUCCUACGGGAGGCAGCAGUGGGGAAUAUUGGACAAUGGGCGGAAGCCUGAUCCAGCAACGCCGCGUGAGGGAUGACGGCCUUCGGGUUGUAAACCUCUUUCAGCAGGGACGAAGCGCAAGUGACGGUACCUGCAGAAGAAGCACCGGCCAACUACGUGCCAGCCGCCGCAGUAA